rnacentral:rRNA from 1 species
CAAAGGAAUUGACGGACCCGCACAAGCGGUGGAUUAUGUUGUUUAAUUCGACGCAACGCAAGACCUUACCAGGCCUUGACAUACUCGGCAAAGCUCUAGAGAUAGAGUGGAGGUUAUCCGGGAUACAGGUGGUGGCAUGGUUGUCGUCAGCUCGUGUCGUGAGAUGUUGGGUUAAGUCCCGCAACGAGCGCAACCCCUACGUUUAGUUGCUAACAGGUGAAGCUGAGCACUCUAGACGAACUGCCGUUGACAAAACGGAGGAAGGUGGGAUGACGUCAAAUCAUCAUGCCCCUUAUGUUCUGGGCUACACACGUGCUACAAUGGCCGGUACAGACGGAGGCGAAGCCGCGAGGCGGAGCAAAUCCGAAAAAGCCGGUCUCAGUUCGGAUUGCAGGCUGCAAUUCGCCUGCAUGAAGUCGGAAUCGCUAGUAAUCGCAGGUCAGCAUACUGCGGUGAAUACGUUCCCGGGCCUU